AUUGAACGCUGGCGGCAGGCCUAACACAUGCAAGUCGAACGAGUGGCGGACGGGUGAGCAAUGUCUGGGAAACUGCCUGAUGGAGGGGGAUAACUACUGUAAACGGUAGCCAAUACCGCAUACCAUCGGAUGUGCCCAGAUGGGAGUAGCUAGCAGGGGGGGUAUCGGCUCACCUAGGCGACGCUCCCUAGCUGGUCCGAGAGGAUGACCAGACACACUGGAACUGAGACACGGUCCAGACUCCAACGAGAGGCAGCAGUGGGGAAUAUUGGACAAUGGGCGCAAGACUGAUGCAGCCAUGCCGCGUGUAUGAAGAAGGGCUUCGGGUUGUAAAGUACUUUCAGCGGGGAGGCGUUACCCGCAGAAGAAGCACCGGCUAACUCCGUGCCAGCAGCCGCGGUAAUUC
rnacentral:rRNA from 1 species